GUGGUCGUUUAAGUAGACAGUGAAAUCUGGUGGCUCAACCAUUCAGACUAUUGCCUAAACUGGACGACUCGAGAGUAUCAGAGGUAGCUGGAAUUUCUUGUGUAGGGAUAAAAUCCGUAGAUAUAAGAAAGAACACCGAUGGCGUAGGCAGGCUACUGGGAUAUUUCUGACACUAAGGCACGAAAGCGUAGGGAGCAAACGGGAUUAGAUACCCCGGUAGUCUACGCUAUGGAUACUAGAAGUUUGGGGUAUCGACCCCCUGAGUUUCGAAGCUAACGCGUUAAGUAUCCCACCUGUGUAGUACGGCCGCAAGGCUAAAACAUAAAGGAAUUGACGGGGACCCGCACAAGCGGUGGAGCGUGAUCUUUAAUUCGACGCUAAACGUUAAACCUUACCAAGGUUUGACAUCUAGGGAAGGCUCUCGAAAGAGAACUGUGCCUUCGGGAACCCUAAGACAGGUGAUGCAUGGCCGUCGUCAGCUCGUGUCGUGAGAUGUUAGGUUAAGUCCUUCAACGAGCGCAACCCUUGUCAGUAGUUGUAUUUUUCUACUGAAACUGCCCCGGUAACGGGGAGGAAGGAGGGGAUGAUGUCAGGUCAGUAUUUCCCUUACACCCUGGGCAAGAAUCGCGCUACAAUGGCCGGUACAAUGCGAAGCGAAGCAGUAAUGUGAAGCAAAUCGCAUCAAAGCCGGUCCCAGUUCGGAUAGGAGGCUGAAACUCGCCUCCUUGAAGUCGGAAUCGCUAGUAAUCGCAGAUCAGCAUGUUGCGGUGAAUACGUUCCCGGGUCUUGUACACACCGCCCGUCAAACCAUGAGAGUCGUGGGCACCCGAAGUUCGAUUCGUCGACCUAAGGUGAACAAGAUGAUUGGGGUUAAGUCGUAACAAGGCAUCGGUACCGGAAGGUGUCGAUG
rnacentral:rRNA from 1 species